rnacentral:misc_RNA from 1 species
AUCUUUUUAGAGGUCUUUUUAGUAGGGGAGUGAUGUUAAAAGAAAUUUAAAGAUCUUAACGUGAUAGUAAUGGUUUGUUUAUUCCAUCCAAGGCUGGUAAUAAUAAGAAAUAAAAAAAGAUUAGGUUUAUCUAAGAGAAAUAGUUAAAUAAAAUCCGUUAGUCUGUUCCGAAGGAGUUGGUUAGUAGGAAUCCUUGUAGUUGUUAAAGAACUAAG